rnacentral:rRNA from 1 species
UACGAAGGGGGCUAGCGUUGCUCGGAAUCACUGGGCGUAAAGCGCACGUAGGCGGAUCUUUAAGUCAGGGGUGAAAUCCCAAGGCUCAACCUUGGAACUGCCUUUGAUACUGGGGAUCUCGAGUCCGGGAAGAGGUGAGUGGAACUGCGAGUGUAGAGGUGAAAUUCGUAGAUAUUCGCAAGAACACCAGUGGCGAAGGCGGCUCACUGGUCCGGUACUGACGCUGAGGUGCGAAAGCGGUGGGGAGCAACAGGG